AUUGAACGCUGGCGGCAGGCCUAACACAUGCAAGUCGAACGAGUAGCGGACGGGUGAGUAAUGUCUGGGAACCUGCCUGAUGGAGGGGGAUAACUACUGGAAACGGUAGCUAAUACCGCAUACCAUCAAAUGUGCCCAGAUGGGAUUAGCUUGUUGUUGUGGUAACGGCUCACCAAGGCGACGAUCCCUAGAUGGUCUGAGAGGAUGACCAGCCACUAGGGAACUGAGACACGGUCCAGACUCCUACGGGAGGCAGCAGUGGGGAAUAUUGGACAAUGGACGCAAGCCUGAUGCAGCAAUGCCGCGUGAAUGAAGAAGGACUUCGGGUGGUAAAGUCCUUUCAUCGGGGAGGCGUUACCCGCAGAAGAAGCAACGGCUAACUCCGUGCCAGCAGCCGCGGUAAUUC
rnacentral:rRNA from 1 species